CCAGGGGGCUGCACGUGGCCAAGAUGGGAAAACAGGAGGUCACGCCCUUCCUGCCAGGGGAGGUCCUGGUGCCCGCAGUAGAGGGCGGAGGCCACCCGGGCUGCAGCGAGAGCAGCGGGAGAUGCAGCUGAGUCGCCCGUGCGCCACACCGCUGUCCUCCGAGGCGCCCGCGUGCCACGCUGCCCUUUGUUCUGGAGCAGUUGCAGAGUCCGCUGCAGUGGUGAGGAGCGAACCAGAGAGACCGGGGUCCCCUGGAGCCACCAGAUGGUGCCUCAGGGACUCGCCAGUGACAGGACCCACACUGCUGAGACCCUGCUGCCUGUGAGGGCCCUCACGCAGAGCGUGGGAAAUGGCAUCGAAAGACAAGCUUAUUGUGGUGCAAAAAUCUUUCCCUGAGGACCCACUCACCUGGCCCCCGGUUCAAGAAUUUCCUUGUUUUGAGAACGCUGUGUUGCUGCAGCCAGGCGAUCUGUGACCUUUCGCUCCCGAUUCUCUCGAGGGCCGUCCAGGAUGUGGCUGCAUCAGCAGCUUGCUCCUCUGUCAUGGAGCAGCUGCUGGGACGCAGGACGAAGACUGUUUCUAGUUCUUGGCUUUGGCAAAUAAAUCCGCAGUGAGCCCUGGUGU